UUCAAAGUCAACUUCGUCCUCAACUCCUCUCCUCUCUUCACCCGUGUCUACUUCCUCUUACCCCCUCGUCGAUCUCCCCACUAAAUCAGCCUCGUCGGCGACGAGCGGUUCGCCGGGAAGCCGCAGGGUGGUCGUCCUGGUGGGUGGGAGUGGUGGAGCAGCCUCUCUGCGGACGCGCGGAUCGACGCGUCCGAGGCGGGCGCUGGGAUUCGACGCAUUUGAGGUGGGGUGGACGGGCUUGGAGGCGGAGGCGAGAGGGCAUCGGCGGCGUGGUGCUGCGUCCAGGCUGCGGUGUACUUCUGUCUUUUUUUUUUUGAGCUGGUGAGAGCUUGGAUCUCGGGUGUUUACCCAUCCGGUUGUUCCUUUUCCGCGGUGGUGAUGUAGGGUCGAUGUGCUUUAGAUUUUAGUUGCUUAGCGGUCGAUUUGAAUUUGAUCGUACUUGCAGAGACAUAGCCCCGGCUGGAAGAUGUGAAGGCUAUGGUGGCAAAUUCUUCGUCCAAUUUUUAGGACUGAACGAGUGUUCCAGCAGAUUAAUCCACAGAUGUAAAUAAAGCCAAUAUAUUUACAUCUACGUGGCAGCAGGGAGAGGCCUGGUACUUCUUGUCGAUUACGUAGGAAAAACAUUCAUCUACGGGUUGCAAAGCAAGCGAUGUAUUUUGUUACACUAAAAGGACGAUGGUGCAGUUGAUAUUUACUUUGUGUUUUGCCGACUGCAGAUGUGAAUGUAUUUUUUUACUGUACAAGAUUUACACUUUUUUCUUCCAUGUACUACUGACAAUGCGUCACAGAAGGAGUACUAGGUCGUUGGGCUUUUGGGGUCUGCAUUAA